CAAUUCAUAUAAAUAUUGCGCACUGAACAUUUCACCAUUUAUUGUGUACUUCUGUGCACUGGCCUCUGCGAACAAUUCCGUUGCCGUCGGCUGUCCAUUAAGCAACAUGCUUAGCGCCGUUAGCCCACAGUGCAACAUUUCUUUUUCUGAGAGCGAUCAACAUUCUCUAGGACUAUGGCAUGGUCAAAAUCGAGGACGUUCUGUUGCGCGGCCGCCUCUUCCAUUGCUUUUUUUGCUAUUUCUGCAAACGCUUUAUCCACAUUACUGCCAUCCUUUGCUGAGGUCUCAUAGAAGGGCAUGUGGUUCAUUUUACACCAUUGCUGAGCGCACCGAGUUAAUACCUAAAUUUAAAUACGGACUUAUGUUAGAAAUUACCCAUUUGAGCAAUUUGACAUACAUUUUGCCCAUCUAGGUCAGCUUUAUUCCCGAGCACAACAAAGGGAAAGUUUCCGGGAUUCCGUGGACUGGCCUGUAUUAAGAAUUCAUCGCGCCACGAGUUCAAAUUCUUGAAGGAGUUGGGAGAAGUAACAUCGUAAACGAGCACACAACAAUCCGUGCCGCGAUAGAAAGCCACGCCGAGUGUUUGGAAGCGUUCCUGACCAGCCGUGUCCCAAAUCUCGAGAAAAAAAAUAGCCCGACAUUGAACCACCAAAUACAAAGUCGGGAAUCGAAGCUUAGGCUCACCUGCAUUGUGGUCAUGCGAUUGUUGAUAACAACCUCUUUUGUACAAAAGUCUGUGCCAAUCGUUGCUUUGUACAUAUGUGUAAAGCGUUUGUUUACAUAACGAUUCAUCAGUGAUGUUUUCCCAACGCUGCAGUCUCCCAAAACUAGGACUUUAAGAAAUGGCUUAGGGUCGUAGAACAUGCUAUUUGGAGUUUCAUCAUAAUAUGAUUUAUAGAGAACAUAUACAUAUAUAUAUAUAUAAGGAAGAUAAUAAAUAUGAAUCAGUAUCAACUA